UUGUGGCCACAUCACGUUGAAACACCGGUUCCCGUAUGAUCACCACAGUUAAGCAACAUCGAUCCUGGUCUGUACAUAAAUGGGUGACCGCUCGGGAAUAUCAA